rnacentral:rRNA from 1 species
GGCCUAACACAUGCAAGUCGAACGGUAACAGGAAGCAGCUUGCUGCUUUGCUGACGAGUGGCGGACGGGUGAGUAAUGUCUGGGAAACUGCCUGAUGGAGGGGGAUAACUACUGGAAACGGUAGCUAAUACCGCAUAACGUCGCAAGACCAAAGAGGGGGACCUUCGGGCCUCUUGCCAUCGGAUGUGCCCAGAUGGGAUUAGCUAGUAGGUGGGGUAACGGCUCACCUAGGCGACGAUCCCUAGCUGGUCUGAGAGGAUGACCAGCCACACUGGAACUGAGACACGGUCCAGACUCCUACGGGAGGCAGCAGUGGGGAAUAUUGCACAAUGGGCGCAAGCCUGAUGCAGCCAUGCCGCGUGUAUGAAGAAGGCCUUCGGGUUGUAAAGUACUUUCAGCGGGGAGGAAGGCGAUAAGGUUAAUAACCUUGUCGAUUGACGUUACCCGCAGAAGAAGCACCGGCUAACUCCGUGCCAGCAGCCGCGGUAAUACGGAGGGUGCAAGCGUUAAUCGGAAUUACUGGGCGUAAAGCGCACGCAGGCGGUCUGUCAAGUCGGAUGUGAAAUCCCCGGGCUCAACCUGGGAACUGCAUUCGAAACUGGCAGGCUAGAGUCUUGUAGAGGGGGGUAGAAUUCCAGGUGUAGCGGUGAAAUGCGUAGAGAUCUGGAGGAAUACCGGUGGCGAAGGCGGCCCCCUGGACAAAGACUGACGCUCAGGUCGGAAAGCGUGGG